rnacentral:rRNA from 1 species
GCUAGGUACGGUCGGAAAUCGUGCUGAUAGUGCAAUGGCAAAAGCGUGCUUGACUGCGAGACCCACAAGUCGAGCAGAUACGAAAGUAGGUCAUAGUGAUCCGGUGGCUCUGUAUGGAAGGGCCAUCGCUCAACGGAUAAAAGGUACUCUGGGGAUAACAGGCUGAUACCGCCCAAGAGUUCAUAUCGACGGCGGUGUUUGGCACCUCGAUGUCGGCUCAUCUCAUCCUGGGGCUGUAGCCGGUCCCAAGGGUAUGGCUGUUCGCCAUUUAAAGAGGUACGUGAGCUGGGUUUAAAACGUCGUGAGACAGUUUUGUCCCUAUCUGCCGUGGGCGCUGGAAGAUUGACGGGGGCUGCUCCUAGUACGAGAGGACCGGAGUGGACUCACCUCUGGUGUACCGGUUGUCACGCCAGUGGCAUUGCCGGGUAGCUAUGUGGGGAAGAGAUAACCGCUGAAAGCAUCUAAGCGGGAAACUUGCCUGAAGAUAAGUCUUCCUGGAGGCUAGACCUCCCUAAAGAGUCGUUCGAGACCAGGACGUUGAUAGGUUGGGUGUGUAAGCGCUGUGAGGCGUUGAGCUAACCAAUACUAAUUGCUCGUGCAGCUUGAUCCU